rnacentral:rRNA from 1 species
UACCGAGAGUUGUAGGCUUCUGUCUACCAUCUCUUACCCAUGUCUUUUGCGUACUAUACGUUUCCUCGGCAGGUCCGCCUGCCGUUAGGACAAACUUAAACCAUUUGCAGUUGCAGUCAGCGUCUGAAAAACUUAAUAAUUACAACUUUCAACAACGGAUCUCUUGGUUCUGGCAUCGAUGAAGAACGCAGCGAAAUGCGAUAAGUAGUGUGAAUUGCAGAAUUCAGUGAAUCAUCGAAUCUUUGAACGCACAUUGCGCCCCUUGGUAUUCCAUGGGGCAUGCCUGUUCGAGCGUCAUUUGUACCUUCAAGCUCUGCUUGGUGUUGGGUGUUUGUCCCGCCUCUGUGCGUGGACUCGCCUUAAAGCAAUUGGCAGCCGGCGUAUAGAUUUCGGAGCGCAGCACAAAACGCGCUUUGUUAGCAAUACGGUGGCAUCCAUCAAGACUUUUUUUAACUCUUGACCUCGGAUCAGGUAGGGAUACCCGCUGAACUUAAGCA